rnacentral:rRNA from 1 species
UCCAGACUCCUACGGGAGGCAGCAGUGGGGAAUAUUGCACAAUGGGGGAAACCCUGAUGCAGCAACGCCGCGUGAGUGAAGAAGCGUUUCGGCGCGUAAAGCUCUGUCAGCGGGGAAGAAAGAAGACGGUACCCGACCAAGAAGCCCCGGCUAACUACGUGCCAGCAGCCGCGGUAAUACGUAGGGGGCGAGCGUUAUCCGGAAUUACUGGGUGUAAAGGGAGCGCAGGCGGCACGGCAAGCCUGAUGUGAAAGCCCGCGGCCCAACCGCGGGACUGCAUUGGGAACUACCGGGCUGGAGUGCCGGAGAGGUAGGCGGAAUUCCUAGUGUAGCGGUGAAAUGCGUAGAUAUUAGGAGGAACACCAGUGGCGAAGGCGGCCUACUGGACGGUGACUGACGCUGAGGCUCGAAAGCGUGGGGAGCAAACAGGAUUAGAUACCCCGGUAAUA